rnacentral:rRNA from 1 species
GUGGGGAAUCUUAGACAAUGGGCGCAAGCCUGAUCUAGCCAUGCCGCGUGAGCGAUGAAGGCCUUAGGGUUGUAAAGCUCUUUCGUGGGGGAAGAUAAUGACUGUACCCCAAGAAGAAGCCCCGGCUAACUCCGUGCCAGCAGCCGCGGUAAUACGGAGGGGGCUAGCGUUGUUCGGAAUUACUGGGCGUAAAGCGCACGUAGGCGGACUGGAAAGUCAGGGGUGAAAUCCCGGGGCUCAACCACGGAACUGCCUUUGAAACUCCCAGUCUUGAGUUCGAGAGAGGUGAGUGGAAUUCCGAGUGUAGAGGUGAAAUUCGUAGAUAUUCGGAGGAACACCAGUGGCGAAGGCGGCUCACUGGCUCGAUACUGACGCUGAGGUGCGAAAGCGUGGGGAGCAAACAGGAUUAGAAACCCUUGUAGUCC